rnacentral:rRNA from 1 species
UACAGAGGGGGCAAGCGUUGUCCGGAUUUACUGGGCGUACAGCGCGCGCAGGCGGGUCAUGAUGUGCCGUGUGACAAGCCACCGCUCAACGGUGGAGGGUCAGGGUAGACAGGUGACCUGGAGGCCGAGAGAGGGUUGUGGAAUACCCGGUGGAGCGGUGAAAUGCGUAGAGAUCGGGUGGAACACCAGCGGCGAAGGCGGCAACCUGGCUCGGUGCUGACGCUGAGGCGCGAGAGCGUGGGGAGCGAACCGG